rnacentral:rRNA from 1 species
UGGUGGGUUGCCUUGUCAGGUUGAUUCCGGUAACGAACGAGACCUCAGCCUGCUAAAUAGUCAAGCGUUCUUUUUGUAACACUCCUGACUUCUUAGAGGGACUAUUGUCGUUUAGGCAAUGGAAGUGUGAGGCAAUAACA